GAUGAAGAACGAAGCGAAAUGCGAUAAGUAAUGUGAAUUGCAGAAUUCAGUGAAUCAUCGAAUCUUUGAACGCACAUUGCGCCCGCCAGUAUUCUGGCGGGCAUGCCUGUCUGAGCGUCAUUUCAACCCUCAUGCCCCUAGGGCGUGGUGUUGGGGAUCGGCCAAAGCCCGCGAGGGACGGCCGGCCCCUAAAUCUAGUGGCGGACCCGUCGUGGCCUCCUCUGCGAAGUAGUGAUAUUCCGCAUCGGAGAGCGAUGAGCCCCUGCCGUUAAACCCCCAACUUUCCAAGGUUGACCUCAGAUCAGGAAGGAAUACCCGCUGAACUUAAGCAUAUCAAUAAGCGGAGGA
rnacentral:misc_RNA from 1 species